rnacentral:rRNA from 1 species
CGAAAAGGGCGUUUGGUGGAUGCCUUGGCAGUAAGAGGCGAUGAAGGACGUGAUACUCUGCGAUAAGCGUAGGUUAGCCGACAAUAGGCUUUGAUCCUGCGAUUUCCGAAUGGGGGAACCCACUUGACAGUUAUUUAUUGUUACCUUUGGUGAUCAAUAAGUGGCUGAACCAAGUACUUCUUACCUGAAUAAAAUAGGGUUUGAAGAGCAAACCCGGGGAACUGAAACAUCUAAGUACCCGGAGGAAAGGACAUCAAUAGAGACUCUGUUAGUAGCGGCGAGCGAACGCGGACCAGCCGAGCCAUGAUUGUGAUCAGAACACAUUGGAAAAUGUGGCCAUAGUGGGUGACAGCCCCGUACGAGAAGCAAGAUUGGACGUAUUAAGUAGGGCGGGACACGUGAAAUCCUGUUUGAAGAUCGGGGGACCACCCCCGAAGGCUAAGUACUCCUUACUGACCGAUAGCGAACCAGUACCGUGAGGGAAAGGUGAAAAGCACCCCGACGAGGGGAGUGAAACAGUUCCUGAAACCGGACGCCUACAAGCAGUCGGAGCCUUCCAUGAUCUUCGGAUCGGGCGAGGUGACGGCGUACCUUUUGUAUAAUGGGUCAACGACUUGGUCUCACGAGCAAGCUUAAGCCGGUAGGUGGAGGCGCAGCGAAAGCGAGUCUUAAACGGGCGACGAGUUCGUGGGAUCAGACCCGAAACCGGGUGAUCUAGGCAUGAGCAGGAUGAAGGUUGGGUAACACCAACUGGAGGUCCGAACCCACACCUGUUGAAAAAGGUCGG